rnacentral:tRNA from 1 species
GCUGUAGCUCAGUGGUAGAGCACUUGCCUAGCAUGUGUGAAGCACUGGGUUUGAUCCUCAGCAUUGCA